UACGAAGGGGGCUAGCGUUGUUCGGAUUUACUGGGCGUAAAGCGCACGUAGGCGGAUCGUUAAGUCGGGGGUGAAAUCCUGGAGCUCAACUCCAGAACUGCCUUCGAUACUGUCGGACUAGAGUACGGAAGAGGCGAGUGGAAUUCCGUGUGGUAGCGGUGAAAUGCGCAGAUAUCAGGAGGAACACCAAUUGCGAAGGCAGCUCGCUGGGACGUUACUGACGCUGAGACGCGAAAGCGUGGGGAGCAAACAGG
rnacentral:rRNA from 1 species